UUGAACGCUGGCGGCAUGCCUUACACAUGCAAGUCGAACGGUAACAGGUCUUCGGAUGCUGACGAGUGGCGAACGGGUGAGUAAUACAUCGGAACGUGCCCGAUCGUGGGGGAUAACGAAGCGAAAGCUUUGCUAAUACCGCAUACGAUCUACGGAUGAAAGCAGGGGACCGCAAGGCCUUGCGCGAACGGAGCGGCCGAUGGCAGAUUAGGUAGUUGGUGGGAUAAAAGCUUACCAAGCCGACGAUCUGUAGCUGGUCUGAGAGGACGACCAGCCACACUGGGACUGAGACACGGCCCAGACUCCUACGGGAGGCAGCAGUGGGGAAUUUUGGACAAUGGGCGAAAGCCUGAUCCAGCCAUGCCGCGUGCAGGAUGAAGGCCUCCGGGUUGUAAACUGCUUUUAUACGGAACGAAAAGACUCUGGUUAAUACCUGGGGUCCAUGACGGUACCGUAAGAAUAAGCACCGGCUAACUACGUG
rnacentral:rRNA from 1 species